CUGGGGCAAGAGUUUUAGGUCACUGGUGUACCACUCAUGAAAGAGAUUAAUACAGUUUUCAAGGACCUGGUUAGUUCCUAGAGAGUGGAUUAUUUCAAAGGUGCAAGAUUUGUCUCUGAAUUUCUCUGGAUCUCUGUCUUGAGAAAUGGUCUAUACCACAAACAA